AUAAAUACAGCUCUCAGGCAGAUCUCAGAUCAGGUCAUACAUACAGCUCUCAGGUUGAUCUCAGACAUCUGAUCUCAGAUCAGGUCACACAUAGGGCUGUCAAGCUGAUCUAAGAUCAGAUCAUACAUACAGCUCUGAAGCUGAUCUCAGAUCAGGUCAUACAUAUCGCUCUCAAGCUGAUCUGAGAUGUGGUCAUACAUAUAGCUAUCAAAGUGAUUUCAGAUCAGGUCAUAAAUCCAGCUCUCAGGCUGAUCCCAGAUCAGGUCAUACAUACAGCUCUCAGGCUGAUCACAGACAUCUGAUCUCAGAUCAGGUCACACAUAGAGCUCUCAAACUGAUCUCAGAUCAGGUCAUUCAUACUGCUCUGAGGCAGAUCGCAGAGAGCUGAUCUCAGAUCAGGUCACAUAUAGAGUUCUCAAACUGAUCUCAGAUCAGGUCACACAUAGAGCUCUCAAACUGAUCUCAGAUCAGGUCAUUCAUACUGCUCUGAGGCAGAUCGCAGAGAGCUGAUCUCAGAUCAGGUCACAAAUGGAGCUCUCAAGCUGAUCUCAGAUCAGAUCAUACAUACAGCUCUUAAGCUGAUCUCAGAUUAGGUCAUACAUACAGCUCUCAAGCUGAUCUCAGAUCAGGUCAUACAUACAGCUCUCAGGCUGAUCUCAGACAUCUGAUCUCAGAUCAGGUCACACAUGGAGCUCUCAAACUGAUCUCAGAUCAGGUCAUUCAUACUGCUCUCAGUCAGAUCUCAGACAGCUGAUCUCAGAUCAGGUCACAUAUAGAGCUCUAAAACUGAUCUCAGAUCAGGUCACACAUAGAGCUCUCAAGCUGAUCUCAGAUCAGGUCAUACAUACAGCUCUCAGGCUGAUCUAAGACAUCUGAUCUCAGAUCAGGUCAUAUAUAGAGCUCUCAAACUGAUCUCAGAUCAGGGCAUUUAUACAGCUCUCAGGCAGAUCUCAGACAGCUGAUCUCAGAUCAGGUCCCAUAUAGAGCUCUCAAACUGAUCUCAGAUCAGGUCACACAUAGAGCUCUCAAGCUGAUCUCAGUUCAGAUCAUACAUACAGCUCUGAAGCUGAUCUCAGAUCAGGUCAUACAUACAGCUCUCAAGCUGAUCUCAGAGCAGGUCAUUCAUACAGCUCUCAGGCAGAUCUCAGACAGCUGAUCUCAGAUCAGGUCACAUAUAGAGCUCUCAAACUGAUCUCAGAUCAGUUCAUACAUAGAGGUCUUAGGCUGAUCUCAGAACAGGUCAUACAGAGGUCUUAGGUUGAUCUCAGAUGAGGUCGCAAAUGGAGCUCUCAAGCUGAUCUCAGAUCAGGUCAUACAUACAGCUCUCAAGCUGAUCUCAGAUCAGGUCAUACAUACAGCUCUCAUGCUGAUCUCAGACAUCUGAUCUCAGAUAAGAUCACACAUAGAGCUCUCAAACUGAUCUCAGAUCAGGGCAUUCAUACAGCUCUCAGGCAGAUCUCAGACAGCUGAUCUCAGAUCAGGUCCCAUAUAGAGCUCUCAAACUGAUCUCAGAUCAGGUCACACAUAGAGCUCUCAAGCUGAUCUCAGUUCAGAUCAUACAUUCAGCUCUGAAGCUGAUCUCAGAUCAGGUCAUACAUACAGCUCUCAAGCUGAUCUCAGAUCAGGUCAUUCAUACAGCUCUCAGGCAGAUCUCAGACAGCUGAUCUCCGAUCAGGUCACAUAUAGAGCUCUCAAACUGAUCUCAGAUCAGGUCAUUCAUACUGCUCUCAGGCAGAUCUCAGAUCAGGUCAUACAUACAGAUCUCAGGUAGAUCUCAGACAGCUGCCCUCAGAUCAGGCAACAUAUAGAGCUCUCAAACUUAUCUCAGAUCAGGUCACACAUAGAGCUGUCAGGCUGAUCUCAGAUCAGAUCAUACAUACAGCUCUGAAGCUGAUCUCAGAUCAUGUCACACAUAUCGCUCUCAAGCUGAUCUCAGAUCUGGUCAUACAUAUAGCUAUCAAAGUGAUCUCAGAUCAGGUCAUGCAUAUAUCUCUCAGGCAGAUCAUAGACAGCUGAUUUCAGAUCAGGUCACAUAUAGAGCUCUCAAACUGAUCUCAGAUCAGGUCACACAUAGAGCUGUCAAGCUGAUCUCAGAUCAGAUCAUACAUACAGCUCUGAAGCAGAUCUCAGAUCAUGUCACACAUAUCGCUCUCAAGCUGAUCUCAGAUCUGGUCAUACAUAUAGCUAUCAAAGUGAUCUCAGAUCAGGUCAUACAUACAGGUCUUAGGCUGAUCUCAAAACAGGUCAUACAGAGGUCUUAGGCUGAUCUCAGAACAGCUGAUCUUAGAUCAGGUCACAAAUGGAGCUCUCAAGCUGAUCUCAGAUCAGGUCAUACAAACAGCUCUCAGGCUGAUCUCAGACAUCUGAUCUCAGAUCAGGUCACACAUAGAGCUCUCAAACUGAUCUCAGAACAGGUCAUUCAUACUGCUCUCAGGCAGAUCUCAGACAGCUGAUCUCAGAUCAGGUCACAUAUAGAGCUCUCAAACUGAUCUCAGAUCAGGUCACACAUAGAGCUCUCAAGCUGAUCUCAGACCCGAUCAUACAUACAGCUCUGAAGCUGAUCUCAGAACAGGUCAUACAGAGGUCUUAGGCUGAUCUCAGAACAGCUGAUCUCAGAUCAGAUCACAAACGGAGCUCUCAAGCUGAUCUCAGAUCAAGUAAUACAUACAGCUCUUAAGCUGAUCUCAGAUCAGGUCAUACAUACAGAUCUCAGGCUGAUCUCAGACAGCUGAUUUCAGAUCAGGUAACACUUUGAGCUCUCAAGCUGAUCUCAGAUCAGGUCAUACAUACAGCUCUCAAGCUGAUCUCAGAUCAGGUCACACAUGGAGCUCUCAAGCUGAUCUCAGAUCAGAUCAUACAUACAGCUCUGAAGCUAAUCUCAGAUCAGGUCAUACAUAAAGCUCUCAAGCUGAUCUCAGAUCAGGUCAUACAUACAGCUCUCAGGCUGAUCUCAGACAUCUGAUCUCAGAUCAGGUCACACAUAGAGCUCUC